rnacentral:rRNA from 2 species
GGGUUGUGAGGUUAAGCGACUAAGCGUACACGGUGGAUGCCCUGGCAGUCAGAGGCGAUGAAGGACGUGCUAAUCUGCGAUAAGCGCCGGUAAGGUGAUAUGAACCGUUAUAACCGGCGAUUUCCGAAUGGGGAAACCCAGUGUGACUCGUCACACUAUCAUUAACUGAAUCCAUAGGUUAAUGAGGCGAACCGGGGGAACUGAAACAUCUAAGUACCCCGAGGAAAAGAAAUCAACCGAGAUUCCCCCAGUAGCGGCGAGCGAACGGGGAGGAGCCCAGAGCCUGAAUCAGCAUGUGUGUUAGUGGAAGCGUCUGGAAAGGCGCGCGAUACAGGGUGACAGCCCCGUACACAAAAGCGCAUGUGUUGUGAGCUCGAUGAGUAGGGCGGGACACGUGGUAUCCUGUCUGAAUAUGGGGGGACCAUCCUCCAAGGCUAAAUACUCCUGACUGACCGAUAGUGAACCAGUACCGUGAGGGAAAGGCGAAAAGAACCCCGGCGAGGGGAGUGAAAAAGAACCUGAAACCGUGUACGUACAAGCAGUGGGAGCCCCACCACUAAGCCAGUGGUGAACUCCACAUACGCAUCCUUUGCUGAAGGUGCGGUUAACGGAGCGCAAGCGACGUUCAACCUCAAAAGAAGCAGAGGGGGCUUAGUGGUGGGGUGACUGCGUACCUUUUGUAUAAUGGGUCAGCGACUUAUAUUCUGUAGCAAGGUUAACCGCAUAGGGGAGCCGGAGGGAAACCGAGUCUUAAUUGGGCGUUAAGUU